rnacentral:rRNA from 1 species
UACGGAGGGUGCAAGCGUUAUCCGGAUUUACUGGGUUUAAAGGGUGCGUAGGCGGGUUGUUAAGUCAGUGGUGAAAGAUUCGAGCUCAACUCGAGAACUGCCAUUGAUACUGACGAUCUUGAAUAUAGUUGAGGUGGGCGGAAUGUGUCAUGUAGCGGUGAAAUGCUUAGAUAUGACACAGAACACCGAUUGCGAAGGCAGCUUGCUAAACUAUUAUUGACGCUGAGGCACGAAAGCGUGGGGUAGCGAACGGG